rnacentral:misc_RNA from 1 species
UUAACAUUUGUUAUAAACAGUUCAGACAGAUGACAUAAAAAUGCAAGAGUUUGAUGUAUACCUCCCGCGAGUGCUCCCCGUCGGACAGCUUUCGCCAUCGUUCGGAGGUGACCGAGAUCACUGCCUCGCGGAAGCAACGGGUAAGAUACACAGAUGGGUUUAUAAUGUAUAUUCGAGAGAAUACAUAUUACUUUUAAUGAUCCUUCCGCAGGUUCACCUACGGAAA